rnacentral:lncRNA from 1 species
GAGUGGGAGGCUAGAGUUGGUAUGGAUGUCUUGUCAUUACAAAUGGUCUGGAGAAUGGAAUCCUAUAGCCACCAUACCAGCUCAGGCUGUUUACUUCAUGAUUUCUGGUGAGAAAAAUAAUCCCCACUUUUGGGAGGACUUGGUUACAUGUUGCUGAACUCAAUCGUAACCGGAAGAACACUUCAAGUGAAAGAGUGAAGACGACUUGAGAACAUUGGGAUAAAACCUUUUGAACAAAGACUCGCCCACUCUAGGAACUGUGCCUGUGUAGGCUGGGAGCCAACUUGGCAGCCGCAUACUACCCUGGUGCACUAGCCUUUCGUGGGGAGGAACUUCCUUGGAGAGCUUGAGUUAGUCCCAUUCUAUCAUCCUCUAAACCUGACAUACCUUUUUAGGAACUUAGUGGAAAAUGUGUGAACCAUGAGACAUCAUUCCCAGGCAACAUCCUAGGAGUGGCAGAGCAGCGAAAUAGAAGGACCGUGGGUCCCAGACGCUGUGUAGCUACCUUUGUAUCCCUGGACUGCUUAUGCCGAGACUACUGAGAGUCAAGUGGAAGACUUGUAUCUUGUUUAAGCCAAUGUUAUUUGGGGUUAACUAUUUCCUUGUCUAAGUUAUCCCAGGAAAGUAUAUCUAGCUUCAAAUCAUUAAAAUCUGUCAAUCUGUGAUAAAAUUAAUGGUAUAAAAUUUUACUACUGAAUAUAAAAGAAUAUUUGUGUAAAGUCCAAUAUGGAAUUGGUAUAAAUUAGAGGUCUCUUCUUGCCUGUUUAAGAUGAAAGGGACAUUAUACUUUAGAAGGUUUUAGGUAGCUUGUAGAAUCUCUCAGAAGAUCUGGGGCCGAGAUUUGGAUGCUACAAAGAUAGGAACAAUAUCGGCCAGGAGAAAUGCCUAGGCAUUGUGGGAGAAGGUCCACUGCAUAUGACCUCUCCUCAGCAUCUGUGACACUCAGGACCUGACACCAAAACGUCCCCAGAGCUGCCUAGGAGACCUGAAGGCUUCCAACAUCAGGCUGGCAAGAAGGGCCAUUUUCCUCGUCACCCUAUUACUGCACGUUUCCUCCCUUCCCAAAUGCAAGCCUGCUGGGCAGAAUCUAGACCACGCCCAGAGCUCAAGCUGCAAAGAAGUCUGGGAAUUACUGUUUUUAACAUUCCAGGCUUUGCAACAGGAAAGCAUGAUAGAGCAGGAUGGAGAAGCAUGGAGUGAGCCAGUCAUAGCAUCUACCACAGAAAGUGAUACUAGCUUAUGCCUGUGAACGCUUUUCACUGGGAAAUACAGCAUAUCGCUAUUUUCAUCCAUUUCUGAAGUGUGAACUAAAGAGAUCCUCACUGAUUUGUAGACAGACUUUUUAUAUAGCGGCUGAAGACACGCAGAGCAAGUGGCCCAAGAGAAAUCUUCAGAAGCCCAGGACUUUUUCUAACUUAGCUCAGAAGUCCCACUCUAUUCAUCUAUAAUGCCAUUGCAAAAACCUGCCCGACUUUCAGGAGAGGAGACAUAAGCUCCAACAAACAGUGCAUGGAGGCCUGUC